rnacentral:lncRNA from 1 species
AUUUUACUUAACUUUAAACACAUUCUGAGCAAUUUUUACAUCAUUUAGAGUUUAGACUAUGUUUCAUGAAAUAAGAGCAACUAGCCAAGAUAGGUGAACAUUUAGACAAUAUGGGAAUUUAUCAUCCUGUGGGAUAAGCUACUUGGUUAUUUCAUGGAAUUCACAGACCAUUUUUAAAAAUUACUUUUUAUUUUCACAAACCAAUUUUAUCACUUGAACUUAGCUUGCUGCACCAAUGUUUGCCAAGAUGAAAGCUCUUUCACAAUGCUGUCUUCAGACCAUAACUUUUAAUCCUUCAUGCUCUCUCACCUUCAUAAGGUUUUUGAAAGAUCUAAGUUGAAUACUAAGAAUUCAUAGGCAUUUUUCUUAAAGUUUUCUGAACCCCCUGCAAGCCACUUGCCACUGUUUGUAGAGCACUCCUCAGAGUAUUCUGGAAGCCAAUUGUUGAUGUGCAGUUUUUCUAAAGACUUGGGACAAGGGCCACAUCAUUUUAAUCUGGGGACUGACUCUUUUGAGCAAGUCCCAGAUAAAGUUAGUGAUUUACAAAAGCUUUUAUCCGUCUCCUGAUGGCUUUUACAGAGUGGAACACUACAUGACCCAUGUGAUUUGUUUUCAUUUACAAAGGUGCAGAGGCUUUGAAUUUAAAAAUGGAACGUUUUCUUCUGGUGCCAAAUGUAAACAAUUUAACAUCCAUUUCCCAUCC